GAUGAACGCUGGCGGCGUGCCUAAUACAUGCAAGUCGAGCGAACGGACGCGACGCUUGCUUCUUUGAUGUUAGCCGAGGACGGGAGUGUAACGUGUGGAUACCCUACUUAUCAGACUGGGAUCACUUCGGGAAUCCGGCGCUAAUACCGGAUAAUCUUUUGAACCGCAUGGUUCAAUAGUGAAUGACGGCCUUGCUGUCUCUUCUCGCUGGUUCCGCGCUGCAUUAGCUAGUUGGUACGGUCAAGGCUUAUCAAGGCAACGAUGCCUAGCCGACUUGAGAGAGGGAUCGGCCACACGAGAGGGUGGACGCGGUCAAGACGCCUACGGGAGGCAGCAGUAGGGAAUCUUCCGCAAUGGGCGAAAGCCUGACGGAGCAACGCCACGUGAGUGAUGAAGGUCUUCGGAUCGUAAUACUCUGUUAUUAGGGAAGAACAGAUGUGGAAGUAACUGUGCACAGCUUGACGGUACCUAAUCAGAAAGCCACGGCUAACUACGUG
rnacentral:rRNA from 1 species